GCGUGCGCCCAGCCGGCUCCGUGGGCUCCUCGCGCGCGCUCUGACAGCGUGCCGGGAUCUCUUUGUUUGGUUGUGGCUUCCCUAGCUCUCGGCAAAGCAGACGGAUUUUCGGUUUCGUUUGAUACCGCGCUCUGGGACUUAGUGCGGGCCACAGCCUCGAAUGCCCCUGGUCGGCAGCUUCACUCCCGAGGGUGCCGCGAGCCCAGGCGGCGAACACCCGGUACCCCUGGCGCAGAGAGGUGGGAUGCUGUACGGACAGCAGCGCUAAGUGCCCCCCACCCCCGGCGCGGGGUGCACUCGCUCCUGGCCGCGGGCCCAGCGGCGGCGGCGGCGGAGGGGAUGAGCCCGGGACGCGCGAGGCGCCUGCCUCAAGCUACCGCCCGGAGAGGGACGCCGAGUAGGGCUCAUCGCAGUACCGCGCGGACCCCUGCCCCCCGUGGCACGCGGCUGCGGAGCCUUGAAGCCGCGUCUGUGAUCAGGAUGCACUGGGCGCCUCGCAGCUGGUGAGGAUGCCCUGCUGCGCGGCCCUGCGCCCCCAGCCCCAGUCCCAGGUGGGCAAGACUGACUGGGCCCGGCUUCGGCCCCUCGUGCCGGUGGAUGAAACGUGCCGGAGUGCUUGGGUGCCAUCAGCUAUCAAAUCUGAAUUCUAAGCGCCAUGGACGAAGGCACUGGACUGCAGCCCGGGGCGGGAGAGCAGCUGGAGGCGCCGGCCACUGCAGAAGCUGUCCAGGAGAGGUGCGAGCCGGAGACCUUCAGGUCUAAGAGUUUACCGGUCCUCAGCAGCGCCUCCUGCCGGCCAAGCCUCAGUCCCACUAGUGGAGACGCCAACACGGCCUUUGGCUGUGUGGAUUCUUCGGGCCACCAGGAGUUGAAGCAAGGCCCGAACCCGUUGGCCCCCAGUCCCUCUGCCCCGUCCACUUCGGCGGGGCUCGGGGACUGUAACCACAGGGUGGACCUCAGCAAAACCUUCUCGGUGUCCUCCGCCUUGGCCAUGCUCCAGGAGAGAAGGUGCCUCUAUGUGGUCCUCACGGAUUCCCGUUGCUUCCUGGUGUGCAUGUGCUUUCUGACCUUCAUCCAGGCGUUAAUGGUCUCUGGGUACCUGAGCAGCGUAAUUACCACCAUUGAAAGGCGCUACAGUCUGAAGAGUUCCGAGUCGGGGCUGCUGGUCAGCUGCUUUGACAUCGGGAACCUGGUGGUGGUGGUGUUCGUCAGUUACUUCGGCGGCCGGGGUCGGCGGCCCCUGUGGCUGGCCGUGGGUGGACUCCUCAUCGCCUUCGGGGCAGCCCUCUUUGCCUUACCUCACUUCAUCUCGCCCCCCUACCAGAUCCAAGAGUUGAACGCCUCGGCCCCCAACGACGGCCUGUGUCAGGGUGGCAACUCCACCGCCACUUUGGAGCCUCCGGCCUGUCCGAAGGACUCGGGAGGAAAUAAUCACUGGGUCUACGUGGCUUUAUUCAUUUGCGCGCAGAUUCUCAUUGGAAUGGGCUCCACACCUAUUUAUACCCUGGGACCAACCUACAUAGAUGACAAUGUCAAGAAAGAAAACUCCUCCUUGUACCUAGCCAUCAUGUAUGUCAUGGGAGCACUUGGCCCUGCAGUGGGAUAUUUAUUAGGUGGACUUCUUAUUGGUUUUUAUGUUGAUCCCAGAAAUCCUGUUCACCUUGACCAGAAUGACCCUCGUUUCAUUGGAAACUGGUGGAGUGGAUUCCUCCUUUGUGCCAUUGCAAUGUUUCUUGUGAUAUUCCCAAUGUUUACUUUCCCAAAAAAGCUUCCACCUCGACACAAGAAAAAGAAAAAGAAAAAAUUUUCUGUUGAUGCUGUUAGUGAUGACGAUGUUCUGAAGGAGAAAUCAAACAACAGUGAACAAGCAGACAAAAAAGUUUCUUCGAUGGGAUUUGGAAAGGAUGUCAGAGGGGUUAUUAUCGUCCCCAGUGCUGGUGUUGGUAUUGUCCUCGGAGGCUACAUUAUAAAAAAAUUGAAACUUGGUGCCAGAGAAUCUGCAAAACUAGCAAUGAUCUGCAGUGGUGUGUCUUUACUAUGUUUUUCAACCCUAUUUAUUGUUGGAUGUGAAAGCAUUAAUCUAGGGGGCAUAAACAUCCCUUAUACAACAGGGUAAGUACCUCUUAAGAGCCGUGCCGUGUCGUGUCUGCACGAUGGAGGUGCAAAGCCCUGUGGUGUUUGUGCAUCUGCAGUCAGACUCGUACCCCUCCCUCCAAGCUGUUCUCCCUGUGUGUGCUCUGUGUGCUCUGCCUCUCC
rnacentral:sRNA from 1 species